rnacentral:rRNA from 1 species
GACGAACGCUGGCGGCGUGCUUAACACAUGCAAGUCGAACGGUAAGGCCCUUCGGGGUACACGAGUGGCGAACGGGUGAGUAACACGUGGGUGAUCUGCCCUGCACUUCGGGAUAAGCCUGGGAAACCGGGUCUAAUACCGGAUAGGACUCCUGGCUUCAUGGUUGGGGGUGGAAAGCUUUUGCGGGGUGGGAUGGGCCCGCGGCCUAUCAGCUUGUUGGUGGGGUAAUGGCCUACCAAGGCGACGGCGGGUAGCCGGCCGGAGAGGGUGACCGGUCACACUGGGACUGAGAUACGGCCCAGACUCCUACGGGAGGCAGCAGUGGGGAAUAUUGCACAAUGGGCGCAAGCCUGAUGCAGCGACGCCGCGUGAGGGAUGACGGCCUUCGGGUUGUAAACCUCUUUCAGCUAUGACGAAGCGCAAGUGACGGUAGUAGCAGAAGAAGGACCGGCCAACUACGUGCCAGCCGCCGCAGUAA